rnacentral:rRNA from 1 species
UACAGAGGUCCCAAGCGUUGUUCGGAUUCACUGGGCGUAAAGGGUGCGUAGGUGGUGGGGUAAGUUUGAUGUGAAAGCUCCGGGCUUAACCCGGAAAUGGCAUUGAAUACUAUCUCGCUUGAGGGUUGGAGGGGAGGCUGGAAUUCUUGGUGUAGCAGUGAAAUGCGUAGAUAUCAAGAGGAACACCAGUGGCGAAGGCGAGUCUCUGGACAACUCCUGACACUGAGGCACGAAAGCUAGGGGAGCAAACAGG